AAUAGAUACCCAGGUAGUCCACCCCCGUAAACGUUGGGAACUGGUUGUGGGUCCUUUCCACGGAUUCCGUGACGCAGCUAACGCAUUAAGUUCCCCGCCUGGGGAGUACGGCCGCAAGGCUAAAACUCAAAGGAAUUGACGGGGACCCGCACAAGCGGCGGAGCAUGCGGAUUAAUUCGAUGCAACGCGAAGAACCUUACCAAGGCUUGACAUACACCAGAACACCCUAGAAAUAGGGGACUCUUUGGACACUGGUGAACAGGUGGUGCAUGGUUGUCGUCAGCUCGUGUCGUGAGAUGUUGGGUUAAGUCCCGCAACGAGCGCAACCCUCGUUCUAUGUUGCCAGCACGUAAUGGUGGGAACUCAUGGGAUACUGCCGGGGUCAACUCGGAGGAAGGUGGGGAUGACGUCAAAUCAUCAUGCCCCUUAUGUCUUGGGCUUCACGCAUGCUACAAUGGCCGGUACAAAGGGCUGCAAUACCGUGAGGUGGAGCGAAUCCCGAAAAAGCCGGUCCCAGUUCGGAUUGAGGUCUGCAACUCGA
rnacentral:rRNA from 1 species